rnacentral:lncRNA from 1 species
CGACUUACCUAGGAGAUUGUGCGCCAUGAGGAAAAUAAUCACAACUCAAGUUCUGAGGUCAUCUGUUUCAUUCUUCUAUUGGCCACAUUUAAGGAUGGAGUAAAUCCGGCUGCUCGUAAAGGCCAUACACAACUGUCUUACGGCUGUGGUCCCCAACUCAGAUCUCUACUGACGACCUGCAGCUGGAACUUCCAAAAGGAGGAAAGUCUUGUAUCCUGACACCAACACUGUGGUUCCUGCCAUGAGCAGUCACUUUUGCAGACAUCAGGCAUCAAAGGUAACCGCUGUGAAAGGAUCUAUCAGCCCCAAAA